AAAGUCCGGACACUGUCUUUGUG
rnacentral:siRNA from 1 species